rnacentral:misc_RNA from 1 species
AUAUUCUACCGCGUGGAGAGGAA